rnacentral:lncRNA from 1 species
CAUAAAACAUUGCCAGCGGGAUAGUUAAUGUACAAAGUGAACUUUUAAAACUUUCAGAAUAUUUAUUGCGAACUCUCCUCCCCUGUAAGUGGAAGUUGCCAAGUCUUGGGUGAUCCAAACUAUGAUUUCAUAAUUUGAAGUCUUUUUUGGGGGAAGAGGGAAGAAGAGAAUGCUUAGAUUGAAUUCACUGAAGAUGAAAAGAAGUUUCCUCUGCCUUCUCCUCACAACAUGUUCUUAGGAGUACAAAGAUACCAUUCUGAGGAGCAGGAAUUGCGGGAACCACUUCCAAAGGCGAGAUUAUAG